CCCAGCGUGCCCCGCGCCUUUCCCGGCGUGCCCCGCGCCUUUCCCGGCGUGCCCCGCGCCUUUCCCGGCGUGCCCCGCGCCUUUCCCGGCGUGCCCUGCGGCCGCCCCCCCAGCUGCUCUCCCAGAAGCCUCCGGGCGCCCCUCCUCCUCCUGCAGCUUCCCCCAAGACUUGGAUGCUCAGGCGGGAGCUGUCCAGCCCCUGCAUCAGGAAGAGGGCUUGCUUGCGUGUGGUAACCACCUUCCUUAACGUUCAGCCCCACCGGGCCUUUCUGGAGCCUUUCAAGCCCAUGGAUCUCCUAGGAUAAUUUCAGCCUGACUUUGGAGUACAAGACGGAGAGAAGACAAGACGUAUUACUCAGAACAGGUUUGGUGUGGAGAUUACUGAUGAAGAGUUUGACUUACUACUUGACAGAAUCCCCCUUGAUGAAGAUGGAAAUGUCAGAGGCCCCGGUUCGUGGCCACGUUGGACACUUGGCACUCCUUUUCCACAUUUUCUCAUUUCUUAGUCAUUUUUUAUUCUUGUUUUUAAUACAGAGAAUGUACCCCUGAAAGUACUAGGCUUAUUUAAAUUUUCUCUUUAUUGCCUGGUAUCUCACUUACUAAUAUUUUAUAAACGACAAAGGAUUUUUGAAAAAGCGUUGUUAACAAAAAGCUAGGAUUUUUGAAUGAUGAACUACGGCAAUGCAUUUGAAAACAUUUAAUGUCUCAGUACCUAAGCAGUGGACGUGGGAGGAUAAUGUGUGACUGAGGUGACAAACGAGGCAUGUAAACUGCGUUUGCAGAGUUGGGAAGAAAAUUGCAGUAAGUGGCAAACGUCAAAUCCUGAAGAUGACUGGUGUUCAGUCCCCAGCCGCACUAAACACUCCCCGCACACUGACCUUUUACCCCUGGAUCGCCUCCCAGGGGACUCCCAUUAACAAGACUUCUUGCUGCCUUCUUCCCAGAGGAUUCUGCCUGGACGGUAGAGGACACCCGUUGCCAAUGAUUGUCUUAAAGGCGGAGCAAGAAUGCUUUCUGAAAUAUUCUCACUUUGUAUUUCUCUAUCAGGGACCACAGUUAUUACUCUUUUCUAAAAUCUUUUCGUGGAUUCUAUAGGGUAGUUCAAGGCUAAAGUAAUUGAAAUUCUGAUCAGUAUUGAGCAUUUGAUUCCUUAAGUACUUUAAGGCAUGUUGCAGUCCCGGGCAUCAUGAUUUUGGCUGAAACCAUUGAAAGACGGGUUGCUUCUUCCUAAAGAUACUUCUUUUUUCCAGGGCAGUUUCAGAAUAUGACUGUCUUCAUCCAACACGCCUCCUGGACCAUCCUCCAAAUCUCAUGACUAUCUCUUUAGCCAUGAAACCCACCCAAAUUUUCUGUUAGUUCUUGCUAGCAGGGUGGAAGUUACCAACCUGGUUUGACUUGAAGGGCAUGAAAAGAGCAUGCUCCAAGCCAGAGAAUGCCCUCAGAGUCUCGGGGGCUGACAGCAGGAGGCCCUCAAAGUGAAAAAGAACCAGGAGUGGUGAGGAGGUACCAGCAGGCCUUACCUAAAGGUAGCUGUCCCACCAAGAAUACCACAUCCAAGAACAGGAUUCUAUUUCCAAAGUGUGUGUGUGGACUUGAGAAGCAGCCUUUGGAAGAUGGGGCUGCCCAGACUUUCUAGAGCCUACUUUAAUUCCUCGGAGAUCUGCAGUCUCCAGGUUGUCGGUCAUCAGGACCGUGGCUGUUGAAGAGAAUUCACAUCCUCAGCAAGCUAGCACUAACGGGAACCAUAGAGGUCAUACUGUCCAUCUUCUUUCCAGAACAGGGAAGAAAUUUGAGACUCAAGAAAGGUGAGGUUUCUCAGGAAGACUAGUUUCAGGAAUUAAUUUUUUAAAGGUACAGUGUUUUCAUUCACUGAUAAACUGAAAGCCAGUUUCUAGAUAUUUCUUUGUCACACAUGCUCGAUUUGACCUGGGAAAAAAUCUUUACCUGGUCCUCAGACUCAUCUGUCUUCACCGUGACUGAUGGGGACGCAGUGAGGUCCCUGAGGCUCCCUGCAGAAUGCAGCCACUCGAGGCCAAUCAAGAAGAUUGUUCUCCCUAAGGCAUUUCUUGGUGAGGUAUUUUAAGGACCCUUUAGAAAAUUGUUUCUCAGAAACAACUAUGAUUUUAUUUUUGAAAUAUUCAAUAUUAACAACAUCUGUGAGAUUUUCAGUUUUUUCCAUUGAUUUUAACCUUAUAGAAACUGUUCAAAAUUUCCAGAAUCCAAAGUUCCAUCUUUUAUUGAAUGAGUAAGGUCCACAUUAAACUUCCAUGUUAAUCAUGUAAGCUUCUUGUCCUUCUUCAGCAGCAUCUUGAGAGCUGGCCCUAUGAUGUGAGAGCAGGAAGUAGUGUUUGUGUGAAUCUAAGGACUUUUGUUAGAUCUCUAAGCCUAAAAUCGGCAAUACAUCUGCAGUAGGGCCCAAACUACCAAUCCACACUGUAUUCCACCAGUGAACUCACCUAUGCUUUCAGCAAUUCCUCAUUGAAGAUACUGGCAUACAUAUUAUCUGCCCUGUACUACCACCAGCAAACCAUAAUCAUAGGUCUCACAGUCCUCACAUUUAGGCUGGAGAUGGUGGUUUAUGCCUAUAAUCCCAGCGCUUUGGGAGGCUGAGGCAGGAGAAUCACUUGAGGUCAACAGAGCUGAAGAAAAGCCUGGGGAAUAUAGGGAGACGCUAUCUCCACAAAAAUAAAGUAAAACAAAACAACCAGGUAUGGCGGCACAUGCCAGUAGUCCCAGCUACUCAGGAAGCCGUGGGAGGAUCACCUGAGCCCAGGAGGUUGAGGCUGCAGUGAGCUGCGGUCACACCUCUGCACUAUAGCUCAGGUGACAGAGCAGGGUCCUACCUAAAAUAAGAUAAUAAUAAUUUAAAAAUCCACAUUUUUCUCACACAAAAAAUUAUUGCCCAUUUAUCUGCACACAGAACUAAGAUAGCUAUGGUAUUGUAUUCAUUAACACUUGAGAGGCAUAGCACGCAGGUCUUGGUGAGUCUAAGUCCAGGUGGUACUAAUUUAGAGAAAGACAGAGAAGCUAGAUCAUACAUUCAUCUCACAUAUGGUCAACAAUUGCCAUAAGGAUUUUAGGAAACUGCAGAGUCUGAGAAUUCUGAGAAGUUUCUUCUGAUUAGAUUGGCAUUUUAGGAACUGCUUGAUGGACUUAGCUUCCACUUUACAAUAAUUCUCUAGUAUAAAUUCUAUUUCGGAUGUGAACAUUUGAUAUGUGUGUGUGUUUGGCUUUUGCUGCAUUGCUAGGGAGCAGUCCUUAAGUUUAGUUCUACGAAUCUGAUUACUGAGAUGGUUUCCAGCAUAGGAGGUAUAGUUGUUAACCGUGGCUGCUGAGUGUGAUUGGACCUCUCUGCUGAGGCCUCACAGACAUCUUGCUGUAGAACCUCACUUCUGGCUGGGUGUGGUGGUUCAAGCCUGUAAUCCGAGCACUUUGGGAGGCCGAGGCAGGUGGAUUACCUGAGGUCAGGAGUUUGAGACCAGCCUGAUCAACAUGGUGAAACCCCGUCUCUUCUAAAUACAAAAAAUUAGUCAAACAUGGAGGUGCGUGCCUGUAAUCCAAGAUACUUGGGAGGCUGGAAGGCUGAGGCAGGAGAAUCAAUUGAACCCAGAAGGUGGAGGUUGCAGUGAGUAGAGAUUGUACCAGCCUGGGCAACAAAAGGGAAAACUCCAUGUCAAUAAAAAAAAAAAAAAAAAAAAAAGAACUUCACUUCCUUGCUCUCUUCUCUCUGCUCAUUCUUCAGAGAAAGGAUUCCAUUGUAUUCUUUUUCUGUUAGACCUUGUGUCACUUCGGAUGAGGUUUUGUGUGAGUAAAAGAAACUUGGCUCCUAUGUCUUAACCGGGACAGAAGCAUGCUUUUCUGGUCCAUAAGAGAAGAAUGGAGGCAGCAGCCGCUGGUGAUGUGGCAGCUCCAGGGUUGCCCAGACUCUCUACCUUCCAAAGCUGUUUCCUGCCUUCGUGGUCACAUCGUGGUUCUCACAGCUGCUGUGGCCUGAAGACGGGGAAAAGGCGAAAGGGUGGAAAGGGGUUCCUUCUAGCUGAGUCGAUUCCCUUUAAGCAUGAUUCGCAGGGCACUUGCAAACACUUCUGCUUUUAUCUUAUGGGCAGAAUUUAGUCAGGGGGAUAAACCUAGCUGCAAAGAUGGCUGGGAAAUGUAGUCUUUAUUCUGAGUAGCUUUUCUGCCCAGCUAAGAAGGGGGGGAAAGACAAAAGGUGGAUGUUGUGGCUUCUGCCAGAUCGCUUAGGUGGAAUAUUCUAUCUGUAUCCACGAAGCCUUAACGCCUCAUAACUAGCAACCAGUAUUUUAUAGGAAGAGCAUGUAUGGCUAUGUGAUCGAUGCAAUUAGCACGGUCAGCCGUCAUUUGGACAUCCUCAGAGAAGCUCCGAGAUCGUUCUUGUGUCAUAGAAGCAUAUCCAUACCAAUGGUUUAUUCUAUACUUGAAUGUUUUCAACUGUAAGAAUUCAUAUAAAGCAAAUUUAAACUAAAAUCACAAAAAUACGCCCACUGUAUGUGUUUAACAAAGUCUUCAGGGAGUAUUAUAGACUGAAGUAAAACCAUGAGAAAUCUAAAACACAGUAAAACGCUAUAAAAUAAUUAAUGGCUUUUAAUGAAAGAAUUAAUUAAAGUAUGAUUGAUUAAUACAACCCCCCAAAUAAGCUUCUUGUUGAUUUUCAGGGAGGCUGAGGAACUCUAGCACCAACAUAUAUUCUGCAUCCUACAUCUUUGAGUAGGUUUAUUAAUCAUAGAUCUUUGAAGAUAACUUUUCUUUAUGUUUUGUGCUACCAUUUAUCAGUUGUGUAAUUUUACAAGGAGGUUUAUUGAAGUAUAAUUUACAUAUAAAAUUUACCCAUUGUAAGUGAUUUUGGCAAAUCUGUUGAGUUAUGGAACCAGCUCCAUAAUCCAGUUUAGAACAUUUCCGUUUGCUUCUGCUUCUGUGAAUUUGUUUUUGCUAGAUAUUUCUUAUAAAUGAAAUCAAUCAUGCAGUUCAUAUUCUGUGUCUAGCUUCUUUCACUUAAUGGUUUUGAGGUUCAUCCAUGUUGUUGCAUGUAUAGGAAUGUAUUCCUUUUCGUUGCUGAAUAGUAUUCCAUUGUGGUAAUGUACCAUAUUCAUUCAUCAGUGGAUAGCUAUUUAGACUGUUUCCAGUUUUUGACUAGCAUGAAUAAGGGUGCUAUAAACUUUUGUGUACAUGUCUUUGUGUGGACAUGGAUUUUCAUUUUUCUGAUAGAUUCUUAGAAGUGGAAUUGCUGAGUUGUAUUAUUAGUUUAUGUUUAAGUUUUUAAGAAACUGCCAAACUACAUUCCAAAGUGUCUGUACCAUUUUACAAUCGUACCAGCAAUGCAUAAGUGUUGUUUCCUUAACAACAUUUGAUUGUCUGUCUUUUUCAUUAUAGCCAGCCUAGUGGGUGUCUAGAGGUAUCUUCUUCUGGUUUUAAUUUGCAUUUCCCUAAUGAAUAACGAUUUUUGAGCAUCUUUUCUUUGUACAUUAGACAUUGAUAUUUCACCUUUGGGAAAAUGUCAGUUCAAAUCUUUUGCUCAUUUAAAAAAUUCGGUCAUUUGUCAAGAACGUUCUAUGUGUUGGUCACUGUAAAUGCUCUCUACAUAUUCUAGAUUUAAGUCUUUUAUCAUAUAUACGAUUUGCACACAUCUUAUCCUAGCCCUGUGACUUCUUUUUAUGUUCUUAGUGAUUUUUUUUUUUUUGAGACAGAGUCUCAUUCUCUCACCCAGGCUGGAGUGCAGUGGCACAAUCACAGCUCAUUGCAGCUUGAUAUUCUGGGCUCAGGUAAUUCUCCCACCUCAGUCUCCUGAGUAGCGGGGACUACAAAUGUGCACCACCACGCCCAGCUAUUUGGUGUUUUUGGUAGAGGGGGGUCUCACCAUGCUGCCCAGGCUGGUCUUGAACUGCUGUGCUGAAAGGAUCCACUUGCCUCGGCCUCCCGAGGUGCUGGGAUUACAGGCACGAGCCACUGUGCCCGGCUCAUUGGUGUCUUUGAGGCACAGAAGUUUUAAAUUUUUAUCUAGUCUAACUUAUCAAUGUUUUCUUUUACGGUUUGUGCUUUUGGUGUUGAGUUUUGAGAUUUUGAGCAGGUUGUCUAAGCUCUUCAAGCCUCUGUUCCUUUGUCUAUAAAGUUGUAAUAAUAAUUGUUACCUCAAAGGCAACUGCAAUUUAAUCUCAUUUCUUGUAUGUGUUUGGGAAAGAGGGAGGUAUAAGCAGUGACUGCAAGUUUUUUUUUUUUUUUUUUUUUUUUGAGACGGAGUUUCGCUCUUGUUACCCAGGCUGGAGUGCAAUGGCACAAUCUCGGCUCACCGCAACCUCCGCCUUCUGGGUUCAGGCAAUUCUCCUGCCUCAGCCUCCUGAGUAGCUGGGAUUACAGGCAUGUGCCACCAUGCCCAGCUAAUUUUUUGUAUUUUUAGUAGAGACGGGGUUUCACCAUGUUGACCAGGAUGGUCUAGAUCUCUUGACCUCGUGAUCCACCCGCCUCAGCCUCCCACAGUGCUGGGAUUACAGGCGUGAGCCACCGCGCCUGGCCGACUACAAGUUUAACUUUCAACUUGCUCUCAAGUUUCAUAAGUUCUUGGUACUUACGGUUGGCUUGCUGGGAGUAGGGAACUUGGUAUGUGUAAAAGUUACUGAAUGUAUCUGCUAAUAAAUUUUGCCCUCAUCCUGGAUCCAAGAGAUCGAGCUUCACAGAUGGAAGAAGUGAGCAGUCAAGGCAAGGGGAACUGAAGUGCAUAGGGGGUUAAUAAGUGGUUGAAGUUGCCUGGGAAGGGGAGUGUGGAGGAGUAACAGGGUGGGAGCAUGAAGGGACUUGAGGAAACUUCUGGGGUGAUAGAGACAGUAGUAAUAAUGUUGAUGGUGAUGAUGGCUUCAUGGGUACAUACAUAUGUCAAAAUGUAUCAACUUAUACAUGUUAAAUAUUGCUGUCUAUUGUCAGUCAGUUAUCCCAAUAAACCUUUUUAAAAAAUAUAUUUCAUUUUUUUUUUUGAGACAGAGUCUCACUCUGUUGUCAGGCUAUAGUACAGUGGCACUAUCUUGGCUCACUGCAACCUCCGUCCCCCGAGUUCAAGCAAUUCUCCUGCCUCAGUCUUCCAAGUAGCUGGGACUACAGGCGUUCGCCACCAUGCCCAGCUAAUUUUUGUGUUUUUAGUAGUGACGGGGUUUCACCAUGUUGGCCAGGAUGGUCUCCAUCUCUUGACCUCGUGAUCUGCCUGCCUUGGCCUCCCAAAGUGCUGGGGUUACAGGCAUGAGCCAUUGUGACCAGCCUUUUUUUUUUUUUUUUUUUUUAAUUUUAAAGAGGAUGGUCACACCUGUUAGGAUGACCAUUGUUUUUUAAAAAAGCAAGCAUUGGACCAGGCCUAGUGGGUCAUGCCUAUAAUUCCAGCACUUUGGGAGACCAAGAUAGGCAGAUCGCUUGAGCUCAGGAGUUUGAGACCAGCCUAGGAAACAUGGUGAAACCCCAUUUCCACCAAAACUAAAAAAAAUUAGCCGUCAUGGAGGCGUGCACCUGUGAUCCCAGCUGUAGCUGGGAGGCUGAGGUGGGAGGAUUGCUUAAGCCCAGGAGGCAGAGGCUGCAGUGAGCUGAGAUUGCACCAGUGCACUCAAGCCUGGGUGACAGAGUGAGACCUUGUCUCAACUAAAAACAAAAGAAAACGAAACAGAAAAACAAGUAUCGGUUGAGGAUAUGAAAGAUUGAAACCCUCGUACAUUGCUGGUAGGAAUGAGAAACGGUAUUAACACUGUGGAAAACAGGUUGGCAGUUUCUCCAAAAAGUUAAACAUAGAAUUAGCACAUGAUCUCACAAUUUCACUUCUGGAUACAUAUCCAAAAGAACUGAAAGGAAGGACUUGAACAGAUGUUUGUUCAUAGCAGCAUUAUUCACAAUAGUUAAAAAGAUGGAAACAACCCAAGUGUCUGUCAACAGAUGAACAGAUCAGCAAAAUGUGGUUUACACAUACAGUGGAAUAUUAUUCAGCCUUGAAAAUGAAAAAUACUCUGAUACAUAAUGCAACAUGGGUUAACCGUGAACUCAUUAUUUUAGAUGGAAUAAGCCAAACACAAAGGUACAAAUAUUGUAUGAAUCUAUUUACAUGAAUAGGCAACUCAUAGAGAUGACCAGGGACUGAGGGAGGAGGGAGUGGGAAUUUGUUGUUUAAUGGGCAGAGUUUCUGCUCGGGUUGAUGUAAAAGGUCUGGAAAUGGAUGACGGUGAUGGCCGCACAGCAUUUUGAAUGUAUUUGAGGCCACUGAACUGUACAUGUAAAAAUGGCUAAAGUGGUACAUUUUACGUUAUUCUAUUUUCACAACAAAAAAUCCAAAAAGAGAAUGGAUGAAGUAAUAUAUGAGUUUAAGUAGUAAAAACAAUACAAGAAGUAUAAUGGGAAGCUGACAAGUCAGCCCCAGGGGUAAGCCCAGACACAGGGGUUCUCUUUCCUUCCUGGUUUCUCGAUCCUACCACUCACACCUAUCAAUUAUUACAAAUUUAUUCUCCCAUUUCUUCACUCCCUCAUGUUCAGGUGCUUAAAUGGGAGCAUGGAGAAAUGUAAAGUGGAAAAUAAGUGGAAUGCAUCGAGCCUGGAGAGGAGCAGACUUGGGGGAGACCUUGACAGCUGUGAUGAAAUAUUUACAGGGCUGUCAGGUAGAGGAGAGAGGAGGCUUAUUCUGUGUGCUUCAGGUGACAGAAACAGAAUUUCGUGGGAAGCAGACCUUUUUGCCUCCAAAAAAGGAAUAACAUGUUAAUAACUAGAACAGUCUAUGAAUGGAGUAGAUGCCAUGGAAUGCUGGAAGUGGGUAAACAGAGGCUGGGGAUGUCACAGAGGGGAUUGCUGCAUUAGAUGGGAAUUGCCACGCUAACCAGGAAGAAGGAACUUUCAGCUGGGGUUUUGAAGCAUAUCUGAUGAAGGAGGUAUUUACAGAGAUGUGAGCAGGAUUGAGGAAGCUACAAAGGAUCUUGAAGUACCCAGGAGCAACACUGGGAGGCGAGGGAGCAAAGGAGACCAAGGGCGCUGCAGAAGAGGGGUCAGCAAUGGCUGGAAGGGGGAUCCCCCAGCCGGAACUGGUAGUCACAGAGGGAGCAGCUUCUACCAGAAUUGUGGUGCCAAGGCACAGAAGCAGCAGGGUUAGAACUUCCUGGCCCUCCAUUUCCUGUUGUCUCUCACUGGCAAAUCCAGCUCAAAGCCAGAGGCACAGGAGCUCAGCGGAUGCAGUUUGCAGGGAGGGAUGACCUUUGUAAGGCUCUGAACAGGGCAGAGAAGCGUGUCUCUAAGGUUUCUUCCAUCUCAGAGACCUCUGAGUGCCCUCGCUGCCCCAAACUUCAAACUUGAAGACAGCAAAAGACCUGAAGAUGACACUACUCCAUGAAUGACCAGUUCAUCCUGUGAAAGUAAAGAUAGGAUUGGGUGAUGACAAUUUCAGCAGGGAUCAGGGAAAUGCCCUUGAUAAGCCAAGACGGGAGAGAAGCUGUCAGUCAGUCAGCAUGUAUUUAUUGGGACCUACUGUGCGUUAGGCCCUCUUGUAGAGAAGGCAGACCCACUGGUGAGCAAGAUAGAAAUUCCUCUUCUGUUACAUACUAAAAACAGGAGGCAGACAGUAAGCACACAAGCACACGAUUCAAGGUGCCAUCACACGAUCAAUACACUGGUUAAGAAAUGACCCGUGUCAACUCCUAGUUGUGUGACCUUCGUUAAGUGACAGUCUGUGUCUCUGUUCCAUAUCUGUAAAUGAGGAUCAAUGACUGUACCUCCCCAGUAGGGUUGUUAUGAGGCUACAGCUACUUCGUACAUGUAAAUCCUUCAGAACAGUGCCGAGUACACAGACGUGCCGUGUACAUAGAAGUGCCGUGUACACGGAAGUGCCGAGUACACAGUACACAGACGUGCCGUGUACACAGACGUGCCGAGUACACGGAAGUGCCGUGUACACAGACGUGCCGUGUACACGGAAGUGCCGUGUACACAGACGUGCCGUGUACACGGACGUGCCGAGUACACAGAAGUGCCGUGUACACAGACGUGCCGAGUACACAGACGUGUCGAGUACACAGAAGUGCCGAGUACACAGAAGUGCCGUGUACACAGACGUGCCGAGUACACAGACGUGUCGAGUACACAGACGUGUCGAGUACACAGACGUGUCGAGUACACAGACGUGCCGAGUACACGGAAGUGCCGAGUACACGGACGUGCCGAGUACACAGACGUGCCGUGUACACAGAAGUGCCGAGUACACAGACGUGCCGAGUACACGGAAGUGCAGUGUACACAGACGUGCCGUGUACACAGAAGUGCCGAGUACACAGAAGUGCCGAGUACACAGACGUGCCGAGUACACGGACGUGACGAGUACACAGACGUGCCGUGUACACAGAAGUGCCGAGUACACAGACGUGCCGAGUACACGGAAGUGCAGUGUACACAGACGUGCCGUGUACACAGAAGUGCCGAGUACACAGACGUGCCGAGUACACAGAAGUGCCGUGUACACAGACGUGCCGAGUACACAGACGUGCCGAGUACACAGAAGUGCCGAGUA